GACGAACGCUGGCGGCGUGCCUAAUACAUGCAAGUAGAACGCUGAAGGCGGAGCUUGCUUCUCUGGAUGAGUUGCGAACGGGUGAGUAACGCGUAGGUAACCUGCCUGGUAGCGGGGGAUAACUAUUGGAAACGUUAGCUAAUACCGCAUAAUAGCUGUCGUUGCAUGAUAACUGUUUGAAAGGUGCAAUUGCUCCACUACCAGAUGGACCUGAGUUGUAUUAGCUAGUUGUUGGGGUAACGGCUAAUCAAGCCGACGAUAGAUAACCGACCUGAGAGGGUGAGCGGCCACACUGGGAGUGGGACACGGCCAGGAACCCUGGGAGAGGCAGCAGUACGGGAUCUUCAGGAGUGGACGGAGGUGUGACCGAGCAACGACGGGUGAAAGAAGAAGGUUGUCAGGUCGUGUAGGUCUGGUGUGAGAGAGGGUCGUAUGUGAGAGUGGAAAGUGCACACUGUGACGGUAUCUGAACAGAAAGGGACGGCUAACUACGUG
rnacentral:rRNA from 1 species